ACAAAACAAACUACUAUACUGUAAGCUAUAUUUUAUACUAUUUUUAAAAAUUUUAUUUUAUAAAUAGUAUAAAAUUUAUAAAUUUUUUGAAUAUAUAUAAAUUUAUAAACUGUACUGUUAGCUAUAUUUUCAGACAAUGGCUUCAGGAAAAAAAUACAAUACUAGAUACAAUACUAGAGCCAGCUGAAGAUUUGAGACAGGCUGCUAGAAAGUGUAGAGAGUUUUUAUUUGUUAGGCUUUCCACUGCAAAGUUUUGCUCCAAAUCAACUUCCAACGAAUGGAGAAAUGCUCACAAUAUUUUUUUGGCUCAACAUUAGAAAAGAAACUAGGUUGUCCAUAAAAACAGACAGCAAAUAUCUAUGAAAGUUACAAAGAAGUACUUGCAGAAUAUCUAAUAAAGUUGAUUUUGAAGUCUGAAAUUUUCACUAUAAGCUACUAAUACAUAAUGGUAACAAUUGAACUUUUCCACAUUUUGAUUUUCAAAAAAAAAAAUUUUUUUGAGAUACCCUAAUACAGAGGUUGAAAAUGGUAUAAAUUCAAACUUUGUCCACAUUCUUCAAAAACAUUGAUAAAGAAAAUUUUAUUGAAUAUCUGUAAGUCAAUAGAUUGAUGAUAAAGAAGGAAAGACAUGUUUGUGGACAUGCUACGAAUGCUUAAAAAUUCAAGCAAUUCAAUGUAUGUCUACUCAUUUACUUUGUUAACAUUUACUUUGUUAUACUACAGUAAUUAAAUCAUAAAAUUAAUGUAUCGAGACUUGAGAAUAGCGUUUCCAUAAACCUGCAAAUGUUUUUUCAUGUUAAAUAUUGAUCUAGUUUUAUUUUUACGAAGCCAUAUGUCCUGAGAACUUCAGUACUUAAAAGCCAUAUAUCCUGAGAACUUCAGUACUCAAACUAGGUAAAACUAUCUUUGAUUUAGCUUUGAAUAUUUAUAAAGUGACGCACAGCCUUGUUAUUCUCAUGUUUUCAUAUGUUGUACUAAUUUUGUCUAGCUGUCUAAUUAUUUAUCUUUAAUUGAUAUUAUUUGAAAAAAAGAUAGUUUUGCAUGGAGAUGUUUUGGAUGAAUGAUUGUUUAGUGUGAAUUAGGUGUAAUGCCACAUAACAUUUUUUAGUUAAUGCUUUUGUAGUGUGCAAGUUCAAAAACAAAUCUUUUGUAGUGUGCAAGUUCAAGAAGUUCCUGUGAGCAGCGCUGCUUUAUAAAAGUUUGCAAAAAAUUUUAAAUUUAAUGCAGAUGUCUAAAAAUGACAGGGCGGCUUUAUAGGUUAUUUAUAGGAAUUAUAAGUAUUUUGUAUGAUAAACUGUGGUAAUUACUUGACUUUUUUUUUUUUUUUUUUUGUGUGCAUGUUAAUGAAAAUUAUUCUUUGUAGUUAUAUAUAUAAAUAUUUCGUUUUGUUUUUAUGUAAUUUCUGACGAAAAUCAUCAAGCAAGAUAAUAAAAAUUGAAAGAAAAGAUAUGAAAUUUUUUAUUGUAAAUGUGAUUGUGUAUUAAUGAUUGGCUUUUUUGGUAUACGAUGUAAUGAUGUCUGAUGAUUUUGUUAUAUCAUCUUAAAUUAUUUUAUUGCAUAAUAUAUUUUGGUUUUGUUUCCUGGA
rnacentral:lncRNA from 1 species